AGGGUCUAAGCACCGAAUAUUGUUCAAAACAUUCACUCAUUGGCUUCUAAUGGCUGAACAUAGAAUAUUGCUCAAAGAGGAAAACCGAGAAGAGAUGGAGAAGAGAGGCUUUGAACGGUAAGGGUUUCAAAUGGUGCUCUCUCUUUCUUCACCCCACUCUCAUACUCUCUCUCAUAUGCCCCACCAUACCACCAAUUUCUAGGGUUUAUACAUCUCUUUUUAGCAAAUCGACCCAAUUGAGAGUUCUGAGAAGCCAUGGACGAAGAGGCACCACUCGUUGCUGAACACUCGAAUUUUGAAACCCUAACCAAGAGCCUUCAUGUUGAUUUUCUAGGCUCAUGGUGUUGCUCAGAACUUGGAGAAUACUAUCAAAACUACAACGUGUUUGAUAAAUGCCCCAAGUGAGAAUCAAAGGCAUAAUCCCAAUGGGAGGUUUGUUGUUGUUUGUGGAGAUGGUGAAUACAUCAUAUAUACAGCUUUGGCAUGGAGAAUAUGUUGUCAGAGAAAGUACAUCAAAGAUAAAAAUCUUUAGCAAAAAUUUUCAGGUUCGUGUUCUCAAUUGGUCUGUUCACAUAGUUUCAAAUUUAUGGCUUCAUCUUUAAAAAAUGCAAAAAACAACCAAUCUCAUAGUAUCCUCCCAAUUUAGUGGCAGGGAAGCUGGAAAAGGUAUUUUAUUGAAUAAUGAAAAAGCUUGAUGCCCACUUGUCAUGUUCUUUUAGUCAAUGGGUUUGUUGUUUCAACAUCACUUAUAUUUCGUUUGAACAUAUGCCUUCCUCCUAGUACUUUGUUAUUCUUGGAAAAAUACCAUGUAUACCGGGACCUUUGCACUGUGGAUUUUUAACUGUUAGCUUAAUUUUAAUUAUUAUUGUUUUUUUUUUAUCUCUAUUCAUCACAUGGAAUAGUUAGGCAUUAAUUUUAGGUGACCAAGCUGCUAGGAACACUUGAACCCAAGUUUUUGGUAUGGCAUGUAAGACAUUGUGCACAUGUAAAAUAACUGUUUGUUCAAAUAAUGGCAAAGGUUACAUUUGCACCUAUUCUAAGCCUCUCCGCGAAAUUUUUUUGGACCAUAUAAAGUUCAACACUUCCUCCGUUUUAGAUAACUUACGAGAUUUUCCACUCCUGGGCUUGAAAAAAUAUUACAAUUGUUAACAUCUAGAGAUAUCAAUGUCCAAGUCCAUGUUGUAAAGGUAGUGGCUAAUCUUGCUGUUGAAGGUACAUAUCAUAUUACUGUUUUUGAGUUGUUUCUGUGUCUCCUAAAUUUUCUUGUUGCAUGCAUGUAUGUGUGAGUGAGUGACUUCAUGCUCACUAUGUAGUUCUGCACAAUUUACAAAUUGUUUUGUUACGAUUCAAAUGAAAUAUGAAAAAAAGCAUGUACACAACAUAUUUAACUAUAAAGUACAAAAAAUUAUACAAAUUCUGAACUGUUAAAAAGUUAUUUAAAAUUUCGUCUGAAAUGAAUUUUGAUUUUUAGUAACACAAACCAGUGCUCAUUCUUCUUUGAAAACUUCAAAAUCAGUAAAAUUCGGUUUUACUUCUUUACGGGGCUUUAUUUGUGAUAUUAUUGUGAUUUGAGCAGCUAACCAAUCAGAGCUUACUUACUACAAUCUGGAUUCUUCUGCUCUUAACUAAAACUAAGAUAUAUUCAAUGCCUUGAGAAAUGUGAAUAACAAAAACAAAGAUGAAUAUACACUUUACAAAACUCAGCAGCUAUUCAUUCUAGCCUCAUUCCUAUUUCAUAACGUUGGCGCCUUUAUCUUUCUUGUACACAAGAAAGAUUUUCUAUCCUUUCUCUGUUGCCAUGUGGUAUGAUGUAAAAUAUUAAGUAGUCAACACGUCAAAAUAUUGUUUGGGCAUAAGAUAAUCUAUACUUUUUUACUUGUCAUUAAGGCUCUGUUUGAAACACUUUGAUUCCCCAAUUAAAUUGAAAGGUUAUAUAAGAACUUGUUACUGCUAUACUCAUUUUCUUCUCAAGGUAAACAUUCGAUAUAUGAAAAUCUCAUUAUCUUCUUCCCCCCCC